UACGUAGGUGGCAAGCGUUGUUCGGAAUUAUUGGGCGUAAAGGGCGCGUAGGCGGUCUGUUGCGUCGGCUGUGAAAACCCGGGGCUCAACUCCGGGCCUGCAGCCGAUACGGGCAUCACUUGAGUUCGGCAGGGGAGACUGGAAUUCCUGGUGUAGCGGUGAAAUGACGCAGAUAUCAGGAGGAACACCGGUGGCGAAGGCGGGUCUCUGGGCCGAUACUGACGCUGAGGAGCGAAAGCGUGGGGAGCGAACAGG
rnacentral:rRNA from 1 species